UUACGGCCACAACAUGCUGAAAUACCAGUUCCCAUAUGAUCUCCAAAGGUAAGCAACAUUGAGCCUGGUGAGUACCUAGAAGGGUGAUGGCAUGGGUGC